rnacentral:rRNA from 1 species
GACGAACGCUGGCGGCGUGCUUAACACAUGCAAGUCGAACGAAAAGGCCCUGCUUGCAGGGUACUCGAGUGGCGAACGGGUGAGUAACACGUGGGUGAUCUGCCCUGCACUUCGGGAUAAGCCUGGGAAACUGGGUCUAAUACCGGAUAGGAGCCAUUUUUAGUGUGAUGGUUGGAAAGUUUUUUCGGUGUAGGAUGAGCUCGCGGCCUAUCAGCUUGUUGGUGGGGUAAUGGCCUACCAAGGCGGCGACGGGUAGCCGGCCUGAGAGGGUGGACGGCCACAUUGGGACUGAGAUACGGCCCAGACUCCUACGGGAGGCAGCAGGGGGGAAUAUUGCACAAUGGGCGCAAGCCUGAUGCAGCGACGCCGCGUGGGGGAUGACGGCCUUCGGGUUGUAAACUCCUUUCGCUAGGGACGAAGCUUUUUGUGACGGUACCUAGAUAAGAAGCACCGGCUAACUACGUG